UACAGAGGUGGCAAGCGUUGUUCGGAAUUACUGGGCGUAAAGGGCGCGUAGGCGGUUCGUUAAGUCCUGUGUGAAAUCCCCCGGCUCAACUGGGGAACUGCACAGGAAACUAGCGGGCUUGAGUUCGGGAGAGGGAAGCGGAAUUCCGGGUGUAGCGGUGGAAUGCGCAGAUAUCAGGAGGAACACCAACGGCGAAGGCAGCUCGCUGGGACGGUACUGACACUGAGGCGCGAAAGCGUGGGGAGCGAACAGG
rnacentral:rRNA from 1 species